AUAUCCGAGAGGUCUUACAGGCGCCACAGACACCUAUCAGCCUUUUGUAAGGAGGAGCAGCGCGAGUGCGGUGCGGUCAGUGUUAAGCUGCUUAGUUUCUCAAAUUCAUAUUACUGAUAAAGUGUUAAAACUUAGAUGAGAUGUUGGUGUUUUAUGGCUCACGAAUUCGCAAUAACGGAUACGUAUAGCAGUUCGUGUUAAUGACAUUAAUCCAAACAUAUUGAUGACGUGAUAACAUGGGCGUCGAAUCCAAUAUUAAUCAUGCUGAGGUUUUCUCGACGGGGUAAUGUGUAUAAAUGCAGUUAUAAAAUUAAAAGGGACAAGAUAGUGGACGUGACCCUCAUGUUUCCAUGGCAAUCAGUCAAUUACGUUACGCUUAUGAUCGCACCUGCGGUCAUUCGCGCAGUAUCCAUGAUUUUAAGCGGCAUGAAACACUUUAGUUUACUCCUUUGUACGAAAAUGUCAUGUCGUAGUCCUUCAAAUUAGAAUAGUGAUGAUGAUCUUGUCAAUGCUGAGAUUUUCAUGCAUCAACAGCCACUACAUCUGGAUCAGAUUGAACAAGAAACAGACAGCAAGGGUUGUCAGGUCAGAAACAGAAUGACACACAAACACAAGAAACUUCACAGGCAUAUCAACAUGCAAUUUGAAGACGUGUGAUAAAAUACAGAGAGGUGAAGUAGUGUGUCUUUCCAGAUCCCCAAAUCAUUCCCCCUUAAAAGAUGAGCCUGAAGAGGAGAUUUGGGAAGAUGCUGUUUCAUAAGUCGCUUUGCCUGAUCACAUGUGGUCGGGAUGUCUGCUAACAAGAUGCCUUGCUGGUCUGAGCGAGUUUAAAGUCUUACACAGACAGUCCAGAAGUUCUGAAGUCCAUCUUCGAUUUCAUUGAUGCUGUCAUCGUAUUAAGUACAGCAUGAGCCAGAAUGGAUGGGUGGUGGUGGCCAUAAGAAGACUGUCAACUAAACCAACAACAAAAUUCAUAUUUGCAGUUUUUCUUGAAUAAAGUUUUUCUAUUCAGAUGAAUUAAAUGACUUUUAAACAUGAUUUUUUUCAUAU